rnacentral:lncRNA from 1 species
AUGUAUUGUGUUGGAUAUAAAAGAGUAUGCACUGAGGAGGAGGAACCAGAAGUGAGGUGCUGGUUCUAUAAAUUGCGGGGGCCAGGUUCCAGAUGGUGGUGUUCAGGGAUUGCAUAUGGGUCUUGGGUGCGAGUGGCCACGGGGCUGGAACUUCUUUCGUGUUCCUAUUGUUGGGGAGAUUCUCGGAUUGUCCUCUUCUCGCGAUUUCCAGUGUCUCGUGGACUAAACCUUCUCUCUGAUUUUCUGUGUGCCUAACCAGACUUAUCUAAAUAUCCAGUAGUAAAAAAAGUAUCCCGGCUUACUAAUAAGAAAAUAGCAAUUGAAAGGAAUCCUUCAACAUUUGCUUCCCUUAGAAAUAAUAAGGACAAAGUGGAUGGUAAACAGAAAUCAGGAGUUUGCUGCAUCCUCAUAAAGGAUAAAGACACAAGCAGGAGAAGAAAUAUAUAGGAUACACAGGACACACAUUGGCAGAGUGGAUUUUUGAACAUAAGAAAGAUAUUAAAGAAGGUAAAAAUGUCCACAGAACUCUCUUAAGAGUGUUUCACAUCUAAUGUUAAACCACUAUGGGGCAAAGCGAAACUGGUUAAGCACACAGAGGGGUAGAGACAAGGUUUGGUCUGCGAGACCCUGGAGGUUGCAGGAGGACAGUCUGAGAAUUUCCUUGAUGAUGGGAACACGGAAGGGGUUCCGGCCCCGUGGCUGUUCAUGCUCAGGACUUGUAAGUGGUUCUUCAAUACUGUCAUCUGGAGCCUGGCCCUUGUAAUUUGUAGGACCAGUAUUUUAUUUCUAGUUCUUCUAUUUUGGUGCAUAUGCUUUAAUAUUUAACACAAUAUAUGUACAAAAUGUUGUAAUUCGUGUUAGGUGUGACAUAUUU